rnacentral:tRNA from 1 species
GGGUAGUGGCUCAGUGGUGGAGCACUUGCCUAGCACGUGUGAGGCACUGGGUUCGAUCCCCAGCACCCA